rnacentral:lncRNA from 1 species
UGUGGGUGUUUUAGUCUAACUGAACUACUGAAGAUUUGGAGUGGAAUUUGAAUUAGGUGGUUGAGGGAGGGGUGGAUUGUUUUUGAAGAGUGGAUUAAGGGAUUUGGGGAGAAAAUUAAGGAAUGGAGGCGUUUGAGUUGGACUGGGAUGCUGAGUGGUUGGAAUGGAUGUUGUUUAGUGGAGUAAAUCAAAGAGUUUGGGGAGUUACCCUUUGAUUUCGAAAAUCUCUGCAGAACUCUCAUCUACCGUCUUUCAUUUUUAUUUUUAUUUUUCUUUCUCUACCUCCAUAGUCGAAUUCUAUCCCUUUCUUCCCUACCCCCUUUUCGUUUUCUUUAGACUUUAAUCUUCCUGUGUUGUUGUCGAGAUUUCAAGUGCUUUCCCUCUACCUGCCAAAUUUUUCCCUCUCCACCUUUUCUUUUUCUUUUGUUUUCAGCCGAAAUCCCCCAUUGCUGCCAUUUUCCCCCUUCAGUUCUCUUUCUUUUCUGUUUUGUUUUGUGCCAAAAUUUCAAGUCUUUCCCCUUAUCUUUUGUUUCGGUC